CCUACGGGGGGCAGCAGUGAGGAAUAUUGGUCAAUGGGCGCGAGCCUGAACCAGCCAAGUAGCGUGAAGGAUGACUGCCCUACGGGUUGUAAACUUCUUUUAUAAAGGAAUAAAGUGAGGAACGUGUGCCUUUUUGUAUGUACUUUAUGAAUAAGGAUCGGCUAACUCCGUUCCAGCAGCCGCGGUAAUACGGAGGAUCCGAGCGUUAUCCGGAUUUAUUGGGUUUAAAGGGAGCGUAGGUGGGUUUUUAAGUCAGUUGUGAAAGUUUGCGGCUCAACCGUAAUAUUGCAAUUGAUACUGGCAGCCUUGAGUACAGUUGAGGUAUGCGGAAUUCGUGGUGUAGCGGUGAAAUGCUUAGAUAUCACGAAGAACUCCGAUUGCGAAGGCAGCUUACUAAUCUGCCACUGACAUUGAUGCUCGAAAGUGUGGGUAUCAAACAGGAUUAGAUACCCGUGUAGUC
rnacentral:rRNA from 1 species